rnacentral:rRNA from 1 species
UACGAGGGGGGCAAGCGUUGUUCGGAAUUAUUGGGCGUAAAGGGCGCGUAGGCGGUGCGGUAAGUCACCUGUGAAAACUCUGGGCUCAACUCAGAGCCUGCAGGCGAAACUGCCGUGCUUGAGUGUGGGAGAGGUGCGUGGAAUUCCCGGUGUAGCGGUGAAAUGCGUAGAUAUCGGAAGGAACACCAGUGGCGAAAGCGGCUUCCUGGUCCAGCACCGACGUUCAGGCACGGAAAGCGUGGGGAGCAAACAGGG